rnacentral:rRNA from 1 species
AGUGAACGCUGGCGGUAGGCCUAACACAUGCAAGUCGAACGGCAGCACAGUAAGAGCUUGCUCUUACGGGUGGCGAGUGGCGGACGGGUGAGGAAUACAUCGGAAUCUACUUUUUCGUGGGGGAUAACGUAGGGAAACUUACGCUAAUACCGCAUACGACCUACGGGUGAAAGCAGGGGAUCUUCGUACCUUGCGCGAUUGAAUGAGCCGAUGUCGGAUUAGCUAGUUGGCGGGGUAAAGGCCCACCAAGGCGACGAUCCGUAGCUGGUCUGAGAGGAUGAUCAGCCACACUGGAACUGAGACACGGUCCAGACUCCUACGGGAGGCAGCAGUGGGGAAUAUUGGACAAUGGGCGCAAGCCUGAUCCAGCCAUACCGCGUGGGUGAAGAAGGCAUUCGGGUUGUAAAGCCCUUUUGUUGGGAAAGAAAAGCAGCAGGUUAAUACCCCGCUGUUCUGACGGUACCCAAAGAAUAAGCACCGGCUAACUUCGUG